AAGUAUUUUUACUUAAAAUUUAAAUUUUAAUUUUUUAAUCAAGACAAUUAAAAUCUCAUCAAUUCCUUCAUACUAGUUUUCAUUUAAAAAACAAUUGAUUAUGCUACCUUAGUACAGUCAAUAUACUGCAGCUAUUUAAUUWAAAAUCAUUGAGCAGAACAAAUUUUCUAAUAAAAUCAAAAAACCAUGUUUUUGAUAAACAGG
rnacentral:rRNA from 1 species